rnacentral:rRNA from 1 species
GACGAACGCUGGCGGCGUGCCUAACACAUGCAAGUCGAACGGAGAGGACAUGAAGUAUUUCGGUACGGAAUGCUCUCUUAGUGGCGAACGGGUGAGUAACACGUGGGCAACCUGCCCCAGACUGGGGGAUAACAUUGUGAAAACAGUGCUAAUACCGCAUGACAGGGUUCCGGGCAUCCGGGACCCUUGAAAGGAGAAAUCCGGUCAGGGAUGGGCCCGCGUCCAAUUAGCUAGUUGGCGGGGUAACGGCCCACCAAGGCGACGAUUGGUAGCCGAACUGAGAGGUUGAUCGGCCACAUUGGGACUGAGACACGGCCCAGACUCCUACGGGAGGCAGCAGUGGGGAAUAUUGGGCAAUGGGCGAAAGCCUGACCCAGCGACGCCGCGUGAAGGAUGAAGGUCUUCGGAUUGUAAACUUCUUUGAUCAGGGAAGAAAGAAAUGACGGUACCUGAAAAAACAAGCCACGGCUAACUACGUG